rnacentral:rRNA from 1 species
CCCUAUGGGGUGCAUAAGACCCACGAGAUAGCAGAGGAUUUCGGCCUGAAAGGGACCGCUUUUUUUGGAGAAUUUCCCCGGGAGACGGCGCACAAAAGGAUCAAAGAGAUAGUGAUCAAGCUGGGCCGGCAAGGAAGGGAGGGGGUGGUCUUGAAGGACCCGGAAAACAGGGUAGCCCCUCUGAAAUAUACCAGCUCCGAAUCGAACUGCAAUGACCUGGCAAUAGCUUUUAGCCACUAUAACGACUAUGCUCUUGACUUCUUUUUAUCCCGCGCGGUCCGGGAGGGCUUUCAAUCAGUGGAAUGGCAGGAGUCGGUGGAGGAGAGAAGGGAGAGGGCCCGGCGCAUUGGUGAGAGCAGUCUCUUGCCCCUGACAGAGACCAUCAAGAAUAAGCAGCAGGGAGAGC